rnacentral:lncRNA from 1 species
UAAACAUAAAUAGGGAGAAAGGGGAAUGGGGACAAGUAGUUCACAAUAACACAAAUAACAUUUCAAGACUUAGACAGUCAUACUAGAUUUCAAAGAAAAGGGACUCAGGAUUACAUGUUGAUAAUGUAGUAGGGAUUGGGGGCAUGGAAGCAAAUCAAUAGGCUUGUUAGAUUAAGAGAAGGAUGAACUAACACUGGGCACAUUAGUUGCAUUAAGAACAAAGGAACCAUAAGUAAAAGCAUAGAAGAAAAAAA